ensembl:lncRNA
AUUAAAUACAACAAGAGGUUUUUUUUAACAGAACUUUAUUGAACAAGACAUUUUUCAGCAGUAACACCAUAACAGAAUAUCUCAUAUCAUAGCAGCACAAACGCUAAUUUCACCUGCACAAAUCAGCACAAACGUAGCACUAAAAAAGUAGGCCAUUUUGGCCCGUUUUGGAGCAGUCUGGGGGGAUGGUGACCUUUGAAUGACCUAUAAAAUAAUGUUUAAUAUCUCAAAAACCGUAGCAGCACAAACGCUAAUUUUAACUGCACGAAUCUGCACAAACGUAGCACUAACCGCUCCGCCUUUACGUUUCAAGUGGGUGGGGGGUCAGCUUCACUCUGUUUUUAUAGGUGAUCCUCACUUGUGUGCACGUGCAUGUAGGUGAACGCUCACGGCAUGACGUCACACAGCUCAGUUCCUUUCUGCUUUGAUCUUGCAGCACGUGACCUCCACUCGAGUCCUCAAAUAGGGGUGAAACGUAUCACUAAACAAUUUUCAAAGCUAUCUUUAACUAAGACAGAGCAAAGAGACACAUAUUGAAAAAUAAUGACCAAUCAAACAGGUAGGAGUGGUCCGGGAAUCCCAAUAGACAAGGAAGAAAACAGAGAAAUAUACAGAGUUAGGUUGGAAAACUGUAUGGAAAACCAAGUUAGGCGAGUGGUAAAAAAAUCAGGCGAAGUCAUCAGUGAGGAAAAAGUCGAAGCCAUUUACAAGAGGCUUACCAAUAAAAUCUGGGCUGAAGUCGAGGAUCAAUUUGAUGAGAUUCUUAUAGUGGACUUCAACAAGCUCUACAACAUGAUUUUCAAAGCCCUGUGUGAAAAGUGGAAAAGUGCAGAAACAGUGCUGCUAAUAAUGAAAUUAAAUCUUCCACUUAUUGACAACACAAUUGUGGUAACCUUUAUAGAAGAGGCAGCCAAACUAAUGAUAAGAAAUCAAAGAAACGCAUAUUCAAAAACAACAGAAACCAACACAGGCAGGAGUGAUCCAGGAAUUCCAAUAGACAAGAAAGAAAGCAGCAGAAAUGACAGAUUUAGGUUGGAAAAGUGUAUGGCAGUCCUGGUUAAGCGAUUGGUUAGAAAAUCAGGUGGAGUCAUCAGUUUGGAAGAAGUUAAAGCCAUCUGCAAGAGGCUUACCAGCAAAAUCUGGGCUGAAAUGGAGGAUCAACUUCAUGUAAAUCUCUUAAUAGAGUCUGACAGGCUCCCAGAGAUGAUUUUCAACGGCCUUUGUAAAAAAUGGCAAAGUGCAGAAAUAGUGCUGCUAAUGAUGAAAUUAAAUCUCCCACUAAUUGACAACAUAAUUGUUGUAACUUUGAUAGAAGAGGCAGCCAAACUAACAAAGAGAGAGCAAAGAAGUGCAUAUUCAAAAACAAUAGCAGCAAACACAGGUAGGAGUGAUUCAGCUUUUAUUUCAGAGCCUAAAGAAAAUGUAAUGCCCGGAAAUGUGACAAAUACAGAAGAAAAAAGUCAUAAUCAUACUUGUAACGCUUGUAUUGACAGGAAAAACAUUUCAAUACAAAAUCAGAAAACAACAGAAACCGAAGAAACUGGAACUCCAAUAGAAGAGAAAAAACAGAGAGAGAAAAAGAGAUUAUAUUUGGAAAUGGGUAUGCAAUUCCUGGUUAGGCGAUUGGUUAGAAAAUCAGGUGAAGUCAUCAGUUUGCAAGAAGUUAAAGCCAUCUCCAUGAGGCUUACCAGCAAAAUCUGGGCUGAAAUGGAGGAUCAACUUCAUGUAAAUCUCUUAAUACAGUCUCACAGGCCCUUAAAGAUGAUUUGCAACGCCCUUUGUAAAAAGUGGCAAAGUGCAGAAACAGUGCUGCUAAUGAUGAAAUUAAAUCUCCCACUCAUCGACAACAUAAUUUUUGUAACUCUCAUAGAGGAAGCAGCCAAACUAUCCAAGAGACCAAGUCGCAUAAGUCGAUUUUUCUCAUUUGUAGGUCGACUUUUUUCCUCCUGUCUGUGCUGCAUGCAGAGUUCCAACACAGCUGACUGCGGUGUGGAACAACAAAUCAUUGUGUUUCAGAGCCUGAAAGAGGCUGAAAACAAGCCUGAAAACGAGAAAAGAAAUAGUAGUCAUGCGACUGUGUGUUCUUUCUGUAACUUUAAGAACUGUAACUGCUCUUUCAACGUUAAUGUCAAAUUGAGCAUCCCGAAACUAUUCAGUUUAGUGUAAUGCAGAGAAAGAGCUGCUGCUUUAAAGGCAGUACUGAUGACUAAAUUGUCAUCUUGAUUUUUUUUUCAAAUACCUCUUUUAAAAUCUUAAAGCAGUCUGGCCUCAGAGUUAACAUCAGAGGUAUAUUUUAUUUUAAAACUAUUUCAUUCGACUUUAAUUAGACUGAGAAAUAUUCUUCACCGUGUCUCUUCGUAUUAUCGUUACCAUCACCCCCCAACGGCCGAGGCAGACGGCCGUCCCUUCUGAGCCUGGUUCUGCCGGAGGUUUCUGCCUGUUACAGGUAGUUUUUCCUCCCCACUGUCGCCAAGUGCUUGCUCAUAAGGGAUUAUUCAUUAAUUGGGGUUUUCUUGCUGCUACUGUAGGGUCUCUAUCUUACAGUAUAAAGCAACUUGAGGAGACGGUUGUGAUUUGAUGCUAUAUUAAACAUCUUAAAUUCAACUGAAUCUUAAAAUGUAAUAUAGCAUCACAUCACCAUCAAAUCAAGAACUGAAAAAUAUAAAACAAAAUGAAAAUAAAAACCUAAAUUAAAAGCAGUUUGUGAUUUGUCUUGUGCUUUCAAAAUAUAUUGUCAAAUAUGAAAAGCUGCAUUUCUAUGCUCUGGUCAUUAGUACUGGUAUUUUAACCCUGGAGAACAAAUGGGGUCAGAUCCGACCCCAUUGGUUUUCUAGGGAACCCAUGGGGUCAAAUUUGACCCCAUGGGUUCUCCAGGGUUAAUGUAAGCAAACACAGGGAGCAUACACCGAUGUGGAAGUACUACAGAUGAAGAUGCAAAGAAACCAUGAAAUAAUUAAUGAAAUAGUGAAGUUUAUGAAUAAAAUAAACAACUGUAGCACCGUCUCAGUCUCGUCGAAUCGCCCCUCUGCCUCUUCUACUCUAGCAUCAACUCUUCUUAACCCUCGUCUAAUAUGCGCAUAUUGUUUGUUGUUGUCUUUCCUAAAGUCACGAAGCUCUUUCGGGAUGUUCAGGAGGCUGGGCUCGUCUGCAUCCGUGCCCUCUGUGGCUAACCUUAGCUCAGGAGAGUAGCUCCUAUCCACGUGGCUUUUCUCUGUCUCCUCUUCUGUCUGAGUUGUGCCUCUCAAACUUCUUGUGACUACCCCCGUUUCCAUAUUUAAAAGCAAUCUCACCUAUUAUCAGAAAGAUUACCGUAUCUUAUUGUAAGAGAAAUUUCUCCUACGUGUUUGGAGUCUCUACAGUAAGCAAAUGUGGUAAAGGGUGUGGCUGAUUCUGGGAUUGAUGCAGGAGGGCGACAGAAAUAAAAAGUAAAAUAUUAAAUUUUUGCUGUUAUUGACUUUGCUUUACAAUAUCAAACACUGAGCCAGAUGCACAAUAGUCAUGUACAUCACACGUAAACACAUUAAUGUAAAAAACACAGAGGUUAGGCCAUCAAAGUGUGUGUAAAAGAAGUGUUUAUGUCUGUCUUGCAGUUUCUGUUCCUGUCCGAGGUUUGCAGUGGAGAGCUCAGACCACACAGGACCCCGUCCUCUCCAAACCCUGCUCAGCUCUCUGGGGGCAGUGUCCAGCUCUCUCACCUGUCUGCAGACGGCGGAGGGAGUGGCAGCUCUGCUGAUGGAGAGAGGCGGUGUGCAGGAAGGAGAUCACGUCGCUCUGGUGUACCCGCCAGGUAUAGACCUGAUCGCAGCCCUUUACGGCUGCCUGUACGCCGGCUGCGUUCCCAUCACAGUGCGACCGCCUCACCCUCAGAACAUCUCCACCACCCUGCCCACUGUUAAGAUGAUUGUCGAGGUGAGUCACUCGGCGUGUGUGAUGAUGACCACCGCCGUCAUCUGUAAGCUGCUGCGCUCCAAAGAGGCCAUGGCCACGAUGGACAUCAGGAACUGGCCCCCAGUCCUGGACACCGUCCCCAGUGUUUCCUGCUCCUUGGAGCACUCCUGGUUGUCUGCUAUGGUGGAGGUGGCCAAUGUCUGGAGACAAAUCGCUGUUCUGGGGAGCUGCUUUCCUCCACUUACUUUACAUCAGAGUAGAAAGCAUGGAAACAACCCUGAUGGAAAACAGAAACAGCAUCCAGGAAGUGGAAUAAAGAUUAAGCAGCCAAAUUCUAGCUCUGGUUCGAUGCUUACAUUUGGAGGACUCUAGACCACAAACUGAGAGAAACUCUGUGAAGAUGCAGAAACACAUCAAGUUUUGCAAACAAGCAUACUAUUUUUAUAGUUAACUAAACUUCUAGUUUAUUAGAGUUGAGUUCCUACUCGCAGACAACUGAAACAUUCACAUUUGGAAAGCUGACUGAAUAAAUUUUCGUUUGAUUAAUCUAAAGUUGUUCUUCUGUGUCUGAAAACACCCACUCCCACUUACUCAACCUGUGUUGUCGUCUGCUGCUGUGGCCUACAGUAGCAGAAGACAACACUGCAACUGUAACCAAACUGAUUACAGCAUUAUUUAAAAACCUUUAGUGAACUCAACGUUCAAGAUUUUUCAAGGAUCCACAGAAACUUUGAUUGUGUGCUAAAAAUGCUAGUAAAGCUGACAUCCAUCACGAACAACCCACAUCCUCCUCUGCAUGAGUCUGUGAGUGUGCUGAGCAGUUCCUCAUCAGAGACCAAAACAUCCUCACUGCAGGAAGGAGCGCUUUCACAGAUCAUUGAUCCCAACAGCAGUUAGACUAUAACUCCUCAAUCACGUUGUCAUGAGUCACUGGACAUUUACCUGGUGUGCACGUAUAUGUGUAUGUAUAUGUAUACAUGUGUAUAUUCAGUGUGUGUAUGUGUGUGUGUGUGUGUGUGUGUGUGCGCGUGUACAUGUCUAUACUUCUAGAUACUUUUAGAUAUCUAUUGCUUAAAUAGUAAUGAUACAAUAGUUAAAUUUAUUUCUUGCAUUUCCACAACACUCUAUCCAUAGUCACAUACUGUGUAUGCUACUGUUGUAUAUAGUGUACUAUCUUAUUUAUUUUGUGGUUGUUUAUAUUUUAGUCCUAUUUUCGUAUUUUCUGUAACCAUGGUUACGGGAGUUUGUUGCAAGAAGUGUUGUGAAUCUCGCUGAGACAGGGAACCACUGAGGAGCCUCAGAUUAACCAAUCAGUCAGAUCGCUGUCUCCACUUGGGUGGCUGUAGCUCAGGUGGUCAGCCACUACUCAGAAGGUUGGUGGUUCGAUCCCAGGCUGCCUCCUGGCUGCAUGCCAAAUAACCUUGGGCAAGAUACUAACCCAGGGGUCUGCAACCUUUUACACCCAAAGAGCCAUUUGACCCGGUUUCCACGCAAAAGAAAACACUGGGAGCCGCAAAUACUUUUUGACAUCUAAAAUGAAGAUAACACUGUAUAUAUUGUUUUUUACCUUUAUGCUUUGUGUGAACAACUCAGGUGUGUUGCUUAUGAAAAAUGAAGUGCUACAGAGAAAAUGUAAUUAUAUUUAUGUAAUCAACACAUUUUGAACUCUUAAAGAAAUAUAACAAAAGGAAAGACACCAACCUGAACUAAAAUGAUCCAGCAAACAAAAACUGUUGUCAGCCGCCACCCUUAUAUCGCCUUUGGGCUUUUGGAGCCUUGACCUGACUCUUAAAAAAUAAUUAGAAAAAAGCUCUAUGCUGCUAAAAGAUGAAAAAUAGAUUCUGCCUAAAUAUGUAUUUUACCUGGUUAAUGUGUGUGGCGGGGUGUGGUUUGCAGCGCCGCUGCAGGGGAGUCGAACGCACCUGAGCAGCACCCGCAAUCCUGCCUUUCCGCCUUAAAGUCUGUGCUCUCUCUGCUGUUGUGUUGUCGGGCUGUGAGCUGAAAAGCUACAGCCGGCUGUAUGUGUAGCCGCUAAACUGGUGACCUAAAUCUUCGCCACCACGUCUAUAUACAUACAAGCAUAAGGGGAGAGAGUGAAUCAGCGCUGGGAGUACGGACACUGGGCCGGCUUUAAACACACCAUUUAUUUUUUUAGAAGAACAGCCAGAAUCACAAGUAGGAGUUAAAAUCCCCACUAUACAAUAAAAAAAUAAAUGUUCCCAACCCACUAAAAAGCCCUGCCGGCAGAGAUUAAAAUACAAUUAAAAAAAUCAAAGCUAAAUGAAUGUCCUUUUUAUACGAUAAAACUUCCCCCCCAGAGUCCUCUAUUCCCAGUGUCCAACCACACACACUCGGGCAAAUGUUCCUUAGCUGAAAGACGCAGAAGGGGAGCUCCUCUUCCGGGAUGGGGAAAUCUCGCCAGCAGAAGGCCAG